UUCCAAUGGCAGGCAGGAAAUCUUGUAGUAGGUGAUCGUGGCCUUCCUUGGGAUCCCUGUUUCCCCCUUUUAUUCCCUUUUCACCCAGUAAAACCCUGCUUUGCUCACUCUUUAAAGCAUCUGUGAGCGUAAAUUUUUGUGGCCAUGGGAUGGACAAGAACCACAUGUUUACCUGAAGUCCUGUGACAUUUUGGUGUGCAGCAUGGGAGCUCCAAAAGUGACAUUCUUUCAGAUGCCAGAGGAUGCUAUAGAAAAAUGCGUGCCCUCUUGUAAUACUUUGUUCAAGUUCUGAUCAGAAGGAUGAAUGAUGGAGCCCAAGAAGCCAGAGUCUCAUUGUGUUGCUCAGGCUGGAAUCCAGUGGCAUGAUCUCGGCUCAGUGCAACCUCCGCCUCCUGGGUUCAAGCAGUUCUCCUAGAUCAGCAUCAGCGUCCCGAGUAGCUGGGAUUACAGGCACCCGCCACCAUGCCUGGCUAAUGUUGGUCAGGCUGGCUCGAACUCCUGACCUCAAGAGAUCCACCUGCUUUGGCCUCCCAAAGUGCUCGGAUUACAGGCAUGAGCUGCCACACCCAGCCUCCAAAUACUUUUUUUUUAAAUCAAAAUAAUGAUUUCAAUGACUGAGAUCUGUUAUGUAUUUCAACAUAAUCAUGUUUCAUAAAGAUUUAGUCUUCUGAAA
rnacentral:lncRNA from 1 species